UAUUAUAUUGUCGUGGAAAUAUCUUUUCUCGUGUUUAUCUCAUUAUGUAGUGUGUGGGAAAAAAACGUAAAUACCUUGCGAAAAUUCGGAAAAGCAAAUGUAUCGCUAAAUUUUGCGCAAAGUGGAAAUGUGUAUGAAAUCAUUCGAGUCGUAUAUUUUUAAAUUGUCGAAUGAAACAAAUGUGUGCUGCUGAGAGAUAUUUUCAUAAUAUUUUCUAGAAUUUACUAAUAGUUUCGCGUUGCGUGUAUUAAUUAAAAUUACUGAGCUGAUAAUUGAAAAAAAGUACCUUAGUUGAUAUAAAAAUUAUAUUGAUGUGCGUAUGCAAGUUCGUGUAAACAGAAUUUCGAAGCAAACCAACGUCCGUGACAUUGGUCUCGAAUAUUCACAUGUGUCAUAACAACAAAAACCAAUACAAAACAUAUUCAUAAUAUAAAUAUGUAUGUACAUGUGUAAAGCUUAAUAUUUAACCUGUUGAAAUAAAUAUUUUCUUAAAAAAUGUUACACGCAGCUAAAUUGAAUUUCAAUUUGAACGACAUCUUAUGAAAUCACGCCACAUUUCGCGCUACGUACCUCUAUAUUUUUGAAAUAAUACAUUUAUUUGGGUUUUGUUUGAGUACGUCAAAGAAAAUAGACGUGCCAAAAUCCAGAAUACUUUCCGUCCGCCAUUGCAUAUUUCGCGUAAUGUUUGACAACUUUCUCAGUAUGCUGCGAAAGCGUCGCCGCCUUGAUAAUGUUCCGGACGUAGCAACGCCAGGGCCAGCCGAACGGGCAGCUAACGCAGAUGACUAUUGGAAUACAUUAUUUAAUACAACAAACAAUACAACAUCCGCAAAUACAUCAAGUGGUUCUUCCUUCUCCACACCCGUCUGCACUGCCGUCCCGCAUUUAAACACAACGAAGUCCAGUGGUGCUGUCGAUAACGACUUGUCGUUGUUGACACUGCCAUCACUAGAACUCUGCUCAAUUGAUAGGCCCUUUAACCUUAACGAGAGAUUUGUUUCAGUGUUGGAUCAGUUAGAUGCGCGCGUCGAGAAAUUCCGUAAAGAUGCCUUGGGCUUGCAAGAAAAGAAGGACUUCCUACUGAUGUCCAUUGAUUUGAUUAAGAGUCACGAUAUGCUGCAUUCCAUGAUGGAAGCGGAACGUGAGGAAAUCUUCUGCUACAUACAACGAGUCAACGCGCGUCUCUCCACCGUCGAUUUAUUGGUACAUACGGUGCGCGAUCGUUCGCAGGAAGAUGCGCUCAGUCAAAUCAAUGCACUGAUCGAUAUGAUGAUUACUAUUGGCGACCCAGUGUUGUCACGCCAACGCUGCCAACAAUACCUGAAUGCUUGCUGCAGUGCAGCGGAAGCGUCAUCAUCAUAUGAAUAUGGUGUGGAUAUGGAUGCUGGGCCGGUCGACAAGAAAUUCGAGAGCGCACUAUUGGGCUGCACGCUCGAUGAUCAAAAGAACAUUAAAAAGCGGUUGCAGGCUUUGAUGGGUUAUUUAAACAAACAGACAAUACGAAAUUGAGUUUAUUUCAUGAUAAAAAAAAAUAUAUUAUAAUACAAACAGUUGUACAAGGAGACAUUAGGCACCUAAUUUAGUUUAAUGAAAGCCAAUUGUUGGGAUAUUGCUGCCACAGAACACGCGAAAGUCGCUAUUAACAACAAAUUUGAAUUUUCGUGCAUUGUUUUUAUACGGCACAUAUCUUACAUAAGUACUCCUUCAAAACUUUUGUCACAAAUAUGAAACAGGUUUUUUGAUAUAUUACGCUCUAAUACUACCCAUGUAUUUUUUUAUUUUGGCUAAAUAAUUUGUAAACUUUCAAAUGCAUAACGUUGCCAUACCUAUAAAAUGAAUUAGCACAGUUUUAGUAAAAGCAGAAUGAAAUACAAAAAUUUCACAAAAAAGUAAAA
rnacentral:misc_RNA from 1 species